rnacentral:ncRNA from 1 species
UAAAUUAAAUAAAAAGCCGUUCGUAUAUCCUCGAAAAUAUGGUUCGAAAGUAUCUACCGGUACACCGUAAAUGUACUGACUAUGAAGGCAAAAUCUAUAUUG